AUUGAACGCUGGCGGCAUGCUCUACACAUGCAAGUCGAACGGUAACGGGCCGCAAGGUGCUGACGAGUGGCGAACGGGUGAGUAAUGCAUCGGAACGUGCCCAGUCGUGGGGGAUAACUACUCGAAAGAGUAGCUAAUACCGCAUACGAUCUAUGGAUGAAAGCGGGGGACCGUAAGGCCUCGCGCGAUUGGAGCGGCCGAUGUCAGAUUAGGUAGUUGGUGGGGUAAAGGCUCACCAAGCCAACGAUCUGUAGCUGGUCUGAGAGGACGACCAGCCACACUGGGACUGAGACACGGCCCAGACUCCUACGGGAGGCAGCAGUGGGGAAUUUUGGACAAUGGGCGCAAGCCUGAUCCAGCAAUGCCGCGUGCAGGAAGAAGGCCUUCGGGUUGUAAACUGCUUUUGUACGGAACGAAACGGCUCUGGUUAAUACCCGGGGCUAAUGACGGUACCGUAAGAAUAAGCACCGGCUAACUACGUG
rnacentral:rRNA from 1 species